rnacentral:rRNA from 1 species
AAACAGAUGCUAAUACCGGAUAACAACAGAUGAUGCCUAUCAACUGUUUAAAAGAUGGUUCUGCUAUCACUCUUGGAUGGACCUGCGGUGCAUUAGCUAGUUGGUAGGGUAACGGCCUACCAAGGCGAUGAUGCAUAGCCGAGUUGAGAGGCUGAUCGGCCACAUUGGGACUGAGACACGGCCCAAACUCCUAGGGAGGCAGCAGCC